GCCGGAGUAGCUCAGCUGGUAGAGCAAUCGCCUUGUAAGCGAUAGGUCGUCGGUUCGAACCCGUCCUCCGGCU
rnacentral:tRNA from 1 species